GAAAUCAUAACUUUCUAAAAUCAAACACAAACACCAUAAGAAAGACGAUAAAAUAUGUAGGGAACAGUGAUGAUUUAGCAUUGGAAGCCAGUAGGAACGUUCCUUGAACAAACGUUGAGGAGCAAGCUAAGGGAAAUUGGGAUGUUAAGGUUGAUGCCUAAAAUGUUAGCUCUGAUAGCGGUGCAAAGGCAUGCAGCAGCUUCGAGGUCGACAAGGCCAUUGAGAAGGGAACAGCAUGGCAUCACUGGGGGUGAACCAACGGUGACAUUGACUAGGUUAAGCACAUUGGCACAUACACCUAAUUUGAGGGCAUCCCUAGGGCACCUGCCUUGUGCAGAUGGAGUAGGAGUGGGGGUGUUGGGGUUUGGGUUUGGCCUUGGUUUAGGGUGGGGUGAAGAGCAAGAGCCACAAGCACUGACUAGGGAAAAAAAGAGAAUGUUGAGUGCCAACAGGAGGACCAUGGAAGCUGAUCUUUUAGAAGCCAUUUUGAUCUUCUCUCAAAACCUUAGUGGCUUGCUUUCUUGGCUUUAGAGUUAAAAAGGUAGAAGUGUUCGAGGAUGGGGAACUUGGAGUGAAGGAAGGGGGGGUUUUAUAGUGUUUUCAAGAAGGCUAGUGGGUUGUUUUUUUAAUGUUAGGUUAAUUGAUGAAAUUGUAGAAUAAAUAUUAAGCUGACUUGUGAAGUUUGGUUGUUUGUGAUUUGUGAGGUGGAAAUUAACACACUACCAUGUUACCAUUGCUCCUAUAGGAUCAAUAAUAUACGUGGAUCUGUCUUAGCCUAACUCUAAAUGAAUACCCUCUUGUAAUGUCCCAUGUUCUUCCAAUAUAUAAGCAUAAUAGUGACAACUUACAAACCGCUAAGUAGAGACAAAAUGGAUUACAAAUUAAUAAUCUCUCUUUGUCAAACCUUUCAUGUUCUUCUUCAGCCAUUAAACUUAAAAUUUAUUCAACUUCCCAAUGCAGUAAUAAACUUACUAUAAGCAGCUAAUGUAUCCAAAACCAACAUUAAAUAAUGGUUUCUACUUUAACUCAUUUAAUCAAAUUGUUUUCCUUAAAAACCAUCUGGUACAAACCAGUUUGAGAUGCUUCCAUAUUAAUAUUCAAUAAUAUUAUUUUGAGAUUAUUAAUAAUUACUGCCAACCAACCUCCUAUUUUCUUAUUUGGUUCAAAAAUGGAUGCAAAGUGUUGGAGAUAUUGGCAUGUUGCCAAUGGAAGUUGUUAUCGCUGGAUUCGACUGGUAUGUCACGGGCGAACUUUAGAGCCUACCGUGGAUUCCACGCAAUUAGCCCUAUUUCUAACUUAAAAUGGAUGCUUAUGUUUAUAUUCAAAUUGAUAUUUUAAAUAUUAACUAAUUAUCUUUCAUCUCACUUUGAUAGUUCAAGUGAUAAAAUUUAUAAGUAGAUUUCAACUAUUAAGUCUCAUCUUAGAUGAUUUAACACAUCACAACGUUAUUUUAUCUAAACUUAUGGCACUAAGCUACUUACCCCUAGGUUUUUAAUGUAACCCGCUAUGUGGCACCUCAAAAUAGGGCAUGACCUGGGGCCUUAGAACGAGACCAAAUAACUUGAAUCUUUUCUCUUCCUAAUUUAUCUCCAGCAUUAUCAUUUCUUUUUUCGUAAGUUACUUGUGAAGAGUUUAUCAUUUUUGGGCGACCGCCCUUGAACGCGUGCUACAAUCUUCAGCAUUUGACAAAUGUGAUUCCACCAUAUGAGGAAGCUAGAUCGUUGAAAUUGAUUGCUUAAACAAAAGCUAUAAUUUCCUAUGGAGAAUACAAAUAUUCAUCGCAUUCGAACAAAAGGUUAUGAAUAUGUAUACUCCUGUAAAUUCCAAUAACUCUAAAAUAUUUAUUAACGGAGCAGAUUAUUACCACAUUAGGAAGAACAAAAGUAUUUAUCAUUCCUGUCAGUACAUAAUUAUAUAUUUAAAAAGAUAAAUGUUUGAAACAAUAAAAGAAAUUCCUUCAAAAUUAGCAUUUUCUCAAACCAAAAACUCUUUCAUUAUAUAUAGUAUGAAUCCAUUGAAAAAUCUUCCAAACUUCUCUGCAAAAAUAUAAAAAUAAAUAAAUAAAACAAUAAGAAAUUGUUGUAGAGCAAAAGAAGACCAAAUUGAUUUAUAUAUUCAUUUUUUUUUCUCUUGAAGUUUGACAAAAUUCCAUAAUUGAGUUUUCCAUUUUCAAACCUUUGGAAAAAAAGGAAAGCAAUAUCCAGAAAAUCCGAAGCAAAUAUAACAGCGAUAAUGAAAUAAUUCUUUUUAUAUUACACAGAUUAGUAUGAAGAAAUUAUGUGUAAAAGGUCUGACUUUAAUCAUCGGCUGCAUCAGGUCUGCUUAGUUUGUUCAGUAUUUUGCCAUCCCGUGAAAAAUUAUAUUUAUAAGUUUUUUUUAAUAAACAUAAUAAUUCAAAAAAUAUAGGACAGAAGCAUAAUCGCAACUUCUCUUUUAUUAAUAUUAGAUAUCCAUUAUGAAUGGUGCAAAAUCCAGCAUAAAUAUCAAAUUUAAUUUAGUGUAAUUGUACAUAUAAAAUAUAAGUUGUGAUAUCUAUUUAUACAAAAGAUUUUGUUUUCUUGUUCAAUUAUACAUAUUAGAAAAAUAAAUAUAUACAUUUAUUUUUAUAUCAGAUUAAAAUACUUGUUUGUGCAUGCAAUAUAUCAAUAUAAAAUGGUGCUAACUUAAUAAUAUUGUUAGUGAUUUGUGAAAAAUUGAAUCAAAUCAAAACUUCAUGUAUAAAAUUGCAUAAAAUCAAAGUUUAUGUGUUGUAUAACAUUGCAUACUGGAUCAAAUCAAAAUUAUUUUGUUAAUUUUCUAUUAUGUUAUUAAUAAAUUACAAAAUUAAUCAUUUGGUAGCUUUAACUAUUAAAAUUAUCAAUUUGCGGCUUGCACUUAUUCCAAGUUAUUAUCCUAUUAGUUGUUCAAACAAAAGUUAGAAUAAAAAAAAAAAAGACAAUUCUGUAAGAAAAAAGUUCAAUACAAAAUAUUUGUUAACACGGUUAAAAUUCAUCAAUUCAACUUUACGAAGCCUCUCCUAGAAAAUGAUUUUACUGCCCGAUCCCAUUAUUGUCUUAAGCCUAACCUACCCUUACAUAAUGGAUGAUUAUAGUCCCAAAAUCGAACAAAAAUUAUUGCAAUCACUCUUCUAAAAAAACUCGCCUACAACCAAGAAUAUCUCUCCAACAAAUACGAAUCAAAAUGCACAAUAACUCUCGAAUUAUCAAGUAAAAGCACUUGAAAAAACUGCCAACCUGUGCCAAAUCAAUGGCAUAUUUUCAAAAAUCAAAUAGCAAGCCUUCAAACUUUAAUCACCAAUCGUUUCAAACUAUAUUAUCCAUCAAAUUUCUCCAAACAAUUGGGUUAGUUUGAAUUCUUGAAAGAUAAGGAUGGAGUUCACACAUCUUUAAAUUCUUCUUUUCUCUUCAAGAGUAUUAUCCAAUAAAUAACAUUAAGCUUGAUCAUAUCUAGCUUCCUAAAUUACCUACAUUUAUUGCCUAAAUAUACUUUAUAAAAUAAUUACUUAAAUUAUAAUACCAACAAAAAUAUAAAUAAUUUAAUUGUCACAAACGGCUCUAUAAUAUCACCAUGAAACAUAGUCCACGUAUCAUUAUAAUUUUUAAAUUACAAGAGAAAAAAAUGAUAGCUUUGACCACAGGUUUGGGGAUAACCAUCACUAAUGUGUUGAAUUAUGAGGAUAAUGUGGUUGAAAUCAAAAUGUAAAGCAAGUCCAGGGAAUCUUUGCCUUUUUUGCAGUCAAAUGAGCUUUUUCUAAUGUCCCUUUUUAGUUUCCCAUUUGAGAUUUCUUACAUCUUCCUCAACAAAGUCUCACUCACGGACUCAAAAACUGUGCUUCCUAAUGAGUCUCAACUCAUAUUGUAUUUAUUAAGUUAAAUAUUAGCUAUGAUGUCUAUAAUAAAAUAAUAUAUAUAACAUUAAAUAAAUUGAGAUCGAUAGAGCUUUCGACAGAACAUCGACGACUCUUGAUACAAUGUUGUACCAUUAAUCUAAAAUGAGAUAUUUGAUGUGGAUAAGGAUGGUGCAUGAGAAUUUUCAAUUUUUCGAGGGAUAUUAGUGGUGUUGGCCUGCGAAAUGUAGUUUCUCGAGAAACAUGGCAAACUAGAUUGCUUUCUAUUGGGUUGAGACAGUAGGUGAAAAUCCCAUUGAUUAUUGAAAUUAGUUUGUGUGUUGCUUUGGAGUGGCUGAUGAAUAAGAAUUAUAAAUUGUGGUCAUUUCGAAAUCUAUUUAUGAUAUUGACUGCGGCAUUAACCAGCUGGAUUGAUUUCAAUUCGCAGUUAUUCACCAGCAGGGUAAAGGUAUGGCUGAUGCUCUGACGAAAGCAGAUAUAUUGAGACCUUCGGUUUUUAAGGCCUGGUGGUAAAUUUUGGUUAUUGUCUUUUAGUACUAUUUGAGUGGAGGGUAUUUGUCUUAGGUCGAGUGUUGUAAUCUUGUUGUCCUUAAAAGAGGUUGCUUUCAUCCAACUUUUUUCUCGGUUUGCUAUAUUUUCAAGAAAAAAAAGAAGAAGAAAUAAAACAAGUUGAAUAAUAUAAGUUUUUUUUCAUAUCCAUUGGAAAUACAAUAAACCCUCGUAGAAAAGCACUUAAAAAAGUAUUAGACUUAUUUUAUAUCAAUCUCCAUAAGAAAAUUUAAACAACAAAGUAACUAAUGAUAACAUUGAUGUACCGUAAAUACUGAAUCAUAAUUUUUAAAAACCAAACACAACCACGAUAAGAAAGAUGAGAAAGAAUGUAGGAACAAUGUUGACUUAGCAUUGGAAACCAGUAGGAACAUUCCUUGAGCAAACGUUGAGAAGCAAGCUAAGGGAAAUUGGGAUGUUAAGGUUGAUGCCUAAGAUGUUAGCUCUGAUAGCGGUGCAAAGGCAAGCAGCGGCUUCGAGGUCCACAAGACCAUUAAGAAGGGAACAACAUGGCAUCACCGGGGGUGAACCAACGGUGACAUUGACUAAGUUAAGCACAUUGGCACAUACACCUAAUUUGAGGGCAUCCCUAGGGCACCUACCUCGUGCAGAUGGAGUAGGGGUGGGAGUUGGCCUUGGGUUAGAGCCAGAAGAAGAACAAGAUCCACAAUUAGCACUGACUAGGGAAAAGAAGAGAAUGUUGAGUGCCAAAAGGAGGGCUAUGGAAGCUGAUCUUUUUGAAUCCAUUUUGAUCUUUUCUCAAAACUUGAAUGGCUUGCUUUCUUGGCUUUAGAGUUAAAAGGUAGAAACGUUUGAGGAUGAGGAACUUGUAGUGAAGGAAGGGGGGUUUUAUAGUGCUUCCAGCAAGGCUAGUGGGUUAUUUUUUAAUGUUAGGCUAAUUGAUCAAAUUGUAGAUUAAAAUCAAUUUGACAUCUGGCUGGUGAAGUUUGGUUGUUUAUGAUCUGUGAGGUGGAAAUUAGCACAGUGCCAUGUUAGAAUGCUCCUAUAGGAUCAAUAUGUGAAUCUAUCAUUCACUAAAUUACAUUAUUUGCAACAGUAUUUUCAUUUAAGUAACAAUUCAAAAACAUCAAAUAAUGUUAAGUUUGUUCUUUUAUGAUAAUUAAUUAUAUUUCAAUUUCAAUUUAUUUUUUUAUACAUAAAUCUAAUGAAUCAUGAAUAAACUCUGUACAUAUAAUCAAGUGUAAAAGACUCGAUGAAUAACUAUUAAGAGAAAAAAAUAUCAUAAAAAAAUGAUAAAAAAAACAAUACAACUAUUACAUUUAAAUUUUAAUGUGAUAGCCUUUCUGAAUAAUAUUGUUUACAAAAUUUAAAUCCAUAUUUUGUUCUUAGAAAUACAAUAUAUCUUACAACAACAUCCGAUACUUAUUAUUGAUGAUAUCAAUUUCUCUUUUUAAGUCUUCUAAACAGCUGUAGUUAAUAAUAUUAUCAUCUUGUUUACUUCAAGUUUAAAUGAAUAUCUCCAUAAUAUUCCAUGUUCUUCCAAAAUAUAAGGACUUACAAACCGCUAAGUAGAGACAAAAUGGGUUACAGAUUAAUAAUCUCUCUUUGUUAAACCUUUCAUGUUCUUCUUCAGCCAUUAGUACCCUCUAAACAGAUUUACUGAACUUCAUUCACAUUAAACUCGUAAUUUAUUCAAAGUUCCCAAGGUUCAACUUAAUUGCACUAAUAAACUUUCUAUAAGGAGCUAAUGGAUCCAAAACCGACAUUAAACAGUGGUUUCUACUUUAGCUCAUUUAAUGGAACUCAAAAGGGUUUUUGUUUUCCUUAAAAAGCACAAGAUUUAAUGGAAACACAGAUCAGUUUGAGAUGCUCCCUUAUUAAUAUUCAAUAAUAUUAUGAGAUUAUUAAUAAUUACAGCCAACCAACCUUUUUUUUCUUUCGGUUCAGAAAUGGCGUAUUGUAGGUGCAAAGUGUUGGAGAUAUUGGCAUGUUGUCUAUGGAUGUUUUGUAGCUGGAUUCGACUGGGAGUGUCACGGGCGAGCUUUAGAACCUACCGUGGAUUCCACGCAAUUACCCCUAUUUCUAAUUAAAAAUGAGCUUAGGUUUUAUGCUUUUAAAUCCAAACUGAUAUUUUAAAUAUUAAUUACUUAUGACUAACAAAUAUAUUUAUUAAUUGUCACAUCAAAAAUUAAUUAUUGUGUCUCAUGUGAUACGACUCAAGACACGUUAUAAGAUCACUUUACCAAAACUUAUGAUACUAGGUCAUUUGUUCUUGACUCGCCAAUAAUAACCCGAUAUGUGGAACCUAAAGACAGGGGACGACAAAUAUAAGGCCUGGCUCUUCCCAAUUUAUCUCCAGCAUCAUCUUCUUCUCUUUCUUCUCCGACCACUCUAUUCAAUAACUCAUCCCUUUGUCCUAAACAAGAUGGAUCACAUAUUUCCGCUACCUACUUAUCCUUAAAAGAAUUAAUGAAUUAAACUCAUAUUAUAAUACUAAAUUUGAUUAUCUCAAUAAUUUAAUUUCCAAAAAUGUUUUAAUUUAAUAAUUUUUAUAUACUAAGACAUUGUUUCACUGCAUUGUUAAGUAAGAAAAUCAACCUCGUUUAUGAGACCUCGAUCCAAUUUUCGCCAGCUUUGACAUAUUUUGAUAAAUGGGAGCAAAAAAAGUCAUUUUAGGGAAUUAAAAUUAAAUUAUAAAUAUUGAUGAUUGAAAUUUUAUUUUAUUAUAAUUUUAAACCCGAUCUUUUAAGUUUAUUUCCUUUUGGCAAUUGUGAUUCCAUCCAAUGAGGAAGAUCAUUGAAAUUGAUUGCUUAAACAAAAGGAAUAAUUCCAAUGAAUCUAAAAUAUUUAUUAAAGAAAAUUUAGGCUUAUAAACUUAUACAUACAAAGUAAAUUGGUUAGUUCAUAAAUAAAAAUAUUGUGAUUAAACUAGUAGAUUGUACAAGCCCAUUUUUGCCCGGGCCCAUAUCAGAAAAUAAACCAAAUUACAAACAGCCCAUUUUCAAAAUUUUGACCCAAUUACAAGCCCAAAAUCCCCAUGGCCCAAUCAAAUUAACCCAGGCCCAAUACAAUUACAAGCCCAAAACCCAUUUUCAAAAUAAAAGAAAGAAACAGAAAAACCCUAGCUCUAGGUGCGCCGCACCUAGGGCCUUCUGACUCUUCCGAUCCUUGACCUACCAACUGCCACUGCCGCGCGUUUGUCACCGCCAUUGUCCCAUCACCGACGCAUGUCAAUCACCUACAGAAGAAAGAUCAACACGCAAACAGCAAAAAUAAUAGGAAAAAUAGAAAACAAACCGGCUAUAAAAAGCCGAAUUCCCUUCUGUAGUUUCUUCCUUUUUUACAACAAUUAAUGAAAGGAGAUAAAAAAAAAACUAAAAAGGUUGAUUCCAAAGUUCUUUUUUGCCUCUGCUCUUACUCUUUUAUUUCUAUCUCCUGUUGUUUGUUUUUUUUACUAUUCUUCUAAACUAAAAAAACAAAACGAAAAGAAAGGAAAAGGGACACUUACUGGUCUUGAAAGCCCGUCGCCGGAGACCACCUUCGGCGUUGGAAUCGGACUGAAAAGGGGGUAGGAAAAACCCCUCCUUUUUCGUUUUUUCGGGACUAAAUGGGUAGAUCUUUAGGGGGGUCGAGAAUGGCGUUAAAAACCCACCUUUUCUUGCCAAGGCCACCUCUCACGGCGGAGCCCCGGCGUUGGUAGCCGGCUGUGGUAUCUGACGGAAAAGGGGAAAGAGAACAGAGAGUUCUCUGUUGUUUUUUUAAAUGUAAUGAAAAUAUUUUUUUUUCUUUAUUUUUUGCUAUUUAUGCAGGCCAUCAUAUGGCGCCAUUUUGGGCUUAAGUUUUAUGACCAAAACGACGCCGUUUCGCCUAAUAACCGAAACCCGACCCGAUGGCCCCCAGGAUUCGCGCGUUUCUGCGGUGAAGGGGAUAUUUGCGCAUAUUUCCCUUUCGCUUUUGUGUGGCUUUGCAAUUUGGUCCUGAAAUCCUUUUUUUUUCUUUACAUUUUGCGGUACAAUUUUAUUUUUUGUUUCAUAUUGGUCCAGAUGUAAACGGUGCGUUUUAAAGGACUGGGAAUAAUUUCCCAUGUAGUCCUCAUUUUAUUCCACCGUAUUUCUGUUGGCCUUUUCUUCUUUUCUUUAUUUGCAAUUUAUACUUUUAAAUUUCAUUAAGAUUUCGAUGCGGUCCCUUUCAUAUUUAUUUCAUUCAUUUUAUUAUAAUUUAGACUUCAAAGUUUAUUUUAAUCUCAAUUUGAUCCUUUAUCCAUUUAAUUUUAAGUUAAUUUUAUCUAUUUAUGCCUUUUUGUCCUGUUUUAUUUAUUUAGUUAUCCCUACAUUUAUUUAUUUAUUUUUCUUGUAUUUAUAGCUUAUUACGUUCUUUUUUUUACUUAUACAUUGUAUUAUUAUUGUCAUCAUUCUUAUUAAUGUUUAAUUCAUUUUUAUGUUCUAGUAUUAGAAUAAGCAAUUAAUAUGGUCAUUGUUAUUAUUUGGUGAUUGUUGUUAUAAUUAUGUCAAUAUUAUUGUUGUAUUUUAUGAUUUAUCAUUUACUUUUUUUUAUAUUCUACUAAUAUAGUUACUUUAUGUUAUUUUAUUAUUAUUGUACUUUGCAUUGUAUAAAGUAAAUGUUAAUCCUCAUACGAAAUUUGCAUAAAUUAAAUUUAUAUCUUGUUAAAUAUUAUACUAACUUUUACUCAAAAUUCAAAGAAGAAAAAUUUUCAAACAAUCAUGUUUAAUCGACCAAACAAUCAUGUUUAACCACAUAUACCAUGUAACCAAGUAAUCAACUAAUUUUUAUGUCUAAUCGCAUUUGUAGAAGCCCAAUUUCACCCGGGCCUAUUACAAACAAAUAAAACACAAAAUAACCCAUUUCCAACAGACCCAAACCCAUUACCAAAAUACCCAAACUAAACCCACCUAAACAGGCCCAAUAGCCUAACCUCGACCCAAACCCAAAAAAUUUUAGGGUUUCAGACCCCUAACUCUCCCUAGCCUAGUGCCGCAACCACCCUUGGUCUUCUGCUCACCUGCUCUGCCAGCAACCAUCGCCAACUGCCACUGUCAUCUCCAUCCACGUGCGCUGAUCCCUGCAAACAAAUCAAGGCAGACAUGACAAGCAUAGGAAAUAGACUAGAAAUCUCAUGUAAAAGCAUAGGAAAUAGACUAGAAAUCUCAUGUAAAUCGGCUAUAAAGCCAAGAAUAUGUAUUGUAAAAUGGCCCUAUCUCUUUUUCACGAUUUCAAGAAAUAAAAAGUAAAAAAAACAGAUUUAAGGACUCUUUGUUUUCGGUAUAAGAUCUAAUUCCUUUUUUUAUUUUUAUUUUUUUCUUCCUUUUGAAACUGUUUAUAUACAUACAUAUAUUUCUUUAGUUUUCUCUUUUAACUAUUAUACAUAUACAUUGAAAAAGAUUUACAAAAAGAAGAAGAAGAAAAAAGCGCACCUUUUCAACUUCCUGGCUAUUGCGGACGGCGGCGCCGUCGCCGGUGACAGGCGGCCUGCGCAGCGGUGGUCGGCCGGAUCUCUGACCGGCAUCUGGAAAGGGGAGAGAGGGCUUGAGAGAAUUUUAGGUUUUUUUUUAAAUAAAAGGCAGAAAAUGAAAUUUUUAAGAAAAAUUUGAUUUAUCUAGGCAUUCAAAACGGCACCGUUUUGGGCAUGCCUCUCAGGCACCAAAACGAUGCCGUUUUGCCUUUAAACCCGAUCCAAUCGACCCGACCCACUCCAAGAUCCGCGUGUUUUUUCUGUCAUGGGAUAUUUGCACCUUUGGCCCCUUCGCAUUUUCGAUUCGUUUCGAUUUUGUCCUUUUGGUUAUUUAUCUAUUUUAUAAAUUUGGCCCCGUUGUUUUGUCCGAUUUUUAAUCAGGUCCCUGACCUAUUUUCGCGCAGAAAAACGGACACGUGUCCAGAUUUUUUUUACCCAUUUGGUCCUUAGACUUUUGCGUUGUCCUUGUUUUAACCCUCAUUUAUUUAUUUUGUUGUAAUUUUACUCUUAAACUUCGUUUUAUUGUGAUUCGGUCCUUAAUUUACUAAUUUCUUUUAAUCCUACAUUUUGGUUAUUUAUUUAUUUGUUUUAAGUUUAUAUAUAUUAUUAUUUUAUAUAUUAUUAUCUAUGUUAAAUUGUUUAAUAUUAUUAAUUUCAAAUUGUCUCAUACAUUUUUAUAAUAUGUAUAUACACGUACAUACUUUUUAUUUAUUAAAUAUUUUUUUAUAUUCCAUAUUUUUAUACACACAUGUAUACGUAUAAAUAUCUAUGUUUUAAUUCAUAUACAUAUAUAUGUACAUAUACAUAUUUAUGUGUUUUAUGUAUAUAUUAUAAUUUGUUUACAUAUCUAUAUAUAUUUUUUUAUAUUUCAUGAUAGUUAUAUGUAUAUGUGCACAUGUUUACUUAUAUAUAUAUUUUAUAUAAUAAUUUUAGAAUACAUAUAUAUAUUUUUCAUGUUUUUAUAAAUUCAUGUGCAUACACCUGUUUUUACAACAUACAUACUUAUAAUUCAUAUAUUUUUUGUAUUCUAUAAUCUACAUAUGUAUACAUGUAAAUACUUAUAUUUUUAUAUCUUAUAAUGCAUAUAUACAUCUUUUAUAUUUCCAUAAUUUCAUGUACAUACAUAUAUAUUUCCCUUAUAUGUACAUACGUGUCCAUAUUUUAUAAUUUUUAUCUAUAUUCCUUUAUUAUUUUUAUGUUCAUUUAUGUAUUUAUUUAUAUGUCCAUUUUUAUGCUUUAGUUUAUUUAUUUAUUUAUUUACUAUGGUAUAUGCAUGAUCGAUUUAUUUUAUUAUUCGUUUUUUGUUCAUUUUUUUAUUCACAUUAUCAUGUUUAUUAUUCCAUUAUGCAUAUAAAUAUCAUAUUUCAAAAAAGGAAAUUUUUUCAAAUAAGGCAAUGUUUUGCGUUUGGAAAUUCGAGAAAACAUGCCCUAAGGUGUUGGGUGUCGAUUUUUCUCGUUCAACCAAAUGGUUAAAUAUCCUUUUAAAAUUUUUAAAAUAAGGCAAUAUUUUGCGUUUGGAAAUUCGAGAAAACGUGCCCUAAGGUGCUGGGUGUCGAUUUUUCUCGUUCAACCAAAUGGCUUAAUAUCCUUUUAAAAAUUUCAAAAUAAGGCAAUGUUUUGCGUUUGGAAAUUCGAGAAACGUGCCCUAAUGUGCUGAGUUUCGAUUUCUCGUUUAACCAAAUUGCCAAAUAUCCUCUUGAAUUUUAAUCCAUGCCAUUCGAGUUUUUUUAAGGAUCGUAUUUUAAAUUUCUUUAAAGUUUUCAAUUUUUCGACAUUAAGACUUUAAGUAAUCAACUAGGUACCAAUUUUGGGCGUAUUGAGGGUGCUAAUCCUUCCUCGUGCGUAACUGACUCCCGAACCUGUUUUUCUGAAUUUCGUAGACCAAAAUCGUUGUAUUAAUAAAAUCAAAUCGUUUAUUAAAAACAACCACUUUUAGAAAUAUGUAAAAAAAUCAAAUCGUUGUAUUAUUAAUAUUUUUUUAUGUAAAAAAAUUCAUUUGUUGAAUAUAUAUUAAUAUAUUGAAUAUUUUAAAUCGAUAUGAUAAAGAUACCAGAUCGAUUUGAAAAUUUAUGCAUGACAAGUAUAAUUAUAUUGAUGAAUUCAACGAUUAAGUCAUUAAAAUAUUAAUCAUAUAAAUAAUUAUAGAAAUAUGUAAAAUUACUUUAAGUUUUACUGUUUAUAAGUAUAUCCCUCCCACGAUUAUAUAAAGCAUUAAAUAAAUUGACAAGGAAACAAGGAGAAAGGAAAUAAAACAAGUUGAAUAAUACAAGUCUUUUAAUGUCCUUUAAAGAUGCAAUAACCCCUCAAAAGAAAACACUUGAUAGAAAAGUAUUAGAUUUAUUAUUUUGUAUCAAUCUCCCCAAGGAAAUUAAAACAACAAAGCUACAGAUGAAAACACUGAUUUAUUGCAAAUAUGAGAAAUUAUAACUUUCUAAUUAGUUUUUCUACCCACUUUCUUUUAUUGAUUUAUUAUCUUUUUCAUCUUAUUAAAAUCAAACACAAACACCAUAAGAAAGAUGAGAAAGAGGGUAGAGAACAUUAAUGAUGACUUAAUUAGCGCAUUGGAAGCCAGAAGGAACGCUGAUUGAGCAACGAUUGAGAACCAAAUUAAAGGAAAGUGGGACAUUAAUGUUGAUGCCUAAGACGUUAGCUCUAAUAGCAGAGCAAAGGCAUGUAGCAGCUUUGAUUUCGAUAAGGCCACCGAGAAGGGAACAACAUGGUGUCGCUUGGGGUAAGCCAAUGGUGACAUUGACUACGCCAAGCAGAUUAGCACAUACAUCUAAUUUGAGGAUAUCAAUAGGGCAACUGCCUUGUGCAGAUGGAGAGGGGGCGAGGUUAGAGCCGGAGGAAGAGGAGGAUGGAAAAGUAGCACUGACUAGGGAAAAGAAGAGAAUGAUAAGUGCCAAAAGGAGGGUCAUGGAAGCUGAUCGUUUUGAAGCCAUUUUAAGCUGGCAAUUGGUUUCUUUGCUUUAGAGUUAAAAAGUAGAAGUGUUUGAGGAUGGAGAACUUGGAGGGAAGGAAUGGGGUUUUAUAAUGUUUCCAACAAGACUAGUGGGUUGUUUUUUAAAUGUUAGGUUAAUUGAUCAAAUUAUGAAAAAAAAAUGAAUUUAAUUUUUUCUCUUACCCAAUAUUCAACAUUUAUUGGUAAUAAUAUUACUUUGUUUAAUUUAAAUUUAGAUAAAUAUCCCCACUAUUCUAUUUUCUUGCAAAAUAUAAGGAUAAUAAUGACAACUGACGAACGGCUAAGUACAGGAAAAAUGGAUUGUAGAUUCAAAACAACAUAAUUAAUCUCUCAUCGUCAAACCUUUCUUGUUCUUCUUCUUCAGCCAUUACCCUCUAAAGAGAUUUAUUGAACUUCAUUCACAUUAAACUCGUAAUGUAUUCAACUACCCAAUGCAGUAAUAAACUUGCUACAAUACGCUAAUGGAUCCAAAACCACAUUAAAUAAUGGUUUAUAUUUUAGAACAUUUAGGCUUGGCUUGUUUACAUGUAAAAGGUUUUACGAAAAAUAUUUUAUGCAGUUUUUCUGUGUUUAUUUUAUAGAAAAUAGCUUGAUAUACAUAAAAUGACUUACAAAUCACCGUAAAAUAAGCUUAUUUUUCCUCUGAAAUAACUUACCAUUUUUUUCAUUUCUUAAGGUAUCUAUUGGAGCAAACCCAAUAACUAAUUCUACACAUUUUUUAAGGGCCCAUUAAGUAGUAGAUGUUGGCCACAAGUUUUAAAACUGCUCCAUACUCAGGGCGAGAAUUGAACAUUCAACUAUUGGUUAAAGUUGUACAGCCCAAAUUUACCCGGGCUCGCACCAAGGCCCAAAACCCAAAAUAACAAACCACCUAAACCCAAACCACUUAAACCCAAAACCCAAUUACAAAGCCCAAAAUUUAAAGCCCAACUACCCAAAUCAGAAAACAACCAAAAAAAAAAAGGUAACCCUAACCCUAGGUGCGCCGCACCUAGGGUCAUCCACUUGCUUCUGCCGCUGCAUGCCCCAUCACCACCUGCACUGGUAGCCGUCGCCGCCACUGUCACGUCGGCCGCCACCAUCAAUUACCUGCAAACGCACAACAAAAGAGAACCAAGCAGAAAAACAAAAAAUAGGAAAAUUUUGUAACAUUGGCUAUAAAAGCCAAAUCUAAUGCUUGUAAAUGGGGGCUCUUUUUCUUUCCUUUUUGUAACAUUUUGACAGGAAUAAAAGCAAAAAAAUCAAAGGUGAUAUCGGGUGUCCCUUUAUUUUGUUGUUUCAACUCCUUUUUAUUUUAUUUUUGUUUAUUUAUUUGUAUAUAUAUAUAAUAAAGAAAAAAAGGGAAAGCUCACCGGGGAUAGGGCUUCGAACGCCGUUCUGGCGUUUCGUCGGCCGUUGGAGGUGGUGGCGGUGCGGCGAGCAGAGAGGCGGCACGACAGGGGCCUUAGAACCCCAAAAGUCAGGCUUAUUGAGAAAAAAAGAGGGUUUUUCGGAAAAUUUUUUUAAAAGGUGCGGCUGAAAUGGGUUUUUUGGGAAAAAUUUGGGUUUAAAUACCCUAAAUUAAACGGCACUAUUUUGCCCUUAGGGGUCAGGUGCCAAAACGACGCUGUUUUGGCCCUGACCCGCUCGGUGACCUGACCCUAAGGGGAGGAUCCGCGUGUUUUCUUAAAAUGGGAUAUUUACGCGCGCAGUCCCUCUGACUUUGCAAAGCGUUGCAAUUUGGCCCUUUUUCGUUAUUUUCUUUUAUUUUAAUUUAGCCACAAUGUUUUAUUUUUGUUUCAAUUUGGUCCACUGAAGCCUUGCGUUUUGGGACUUUGGUUUAUUUACUGUUUUCGGUCCCCCUCUUUCGGCGUGUGUCACAAUUUAGUCCUUUUCGUCUUUUUAUUUCGAAUUCGCCCAGUAUUUUUGUUUUUACUUUGAUUUAGCCCUUUUUAGCAAUUUUAUUAUUUUGUUCAUUGCUUGCUUGUUGCUUCGGUCUUGAAGACAACAUCCCAUUAUUCAAAGCAGUUUUGUAAAUCGUGAGCUCCCCCUUGAGCUCUUCAAUUUCUUUCUUCAUGGCUAACACCAUAUCCUCAAGAUUAUUAUCCCUCUCUGCCAGCUAUUUCGUAGUGGAAUUGACUAAUUCAAUAAUCUUUUUCACAUUGCCACCGAAAGAAUCCAACAUAAAAUCUCUGAGUUGCUCUUCCAUUGAGUUAAUCCCAUCUGUGCGUUCCUCGACCAACUCAAGCAUCUCCUUCAUGUUCCCUACGAACUCCUCGAGAUUAACCACUCGAUUUUCUAAAGCUGUUAGUAUGUCCCUCGAACGACUUAUUUUUCUGGCCCUUUUACGAGUCUACAUUGGCUCAUUCUGAUCAACAACUUCUUUCGACAUCCCAAUGGUGCAUUUGAACCAAUAGCUCGGAUACCACUUGUCACGGGGCUAGAUCUUUCUUCUCGUAAUUCAUGUGGCCUUAGCGAUCCGUUCUCUCCAAAAUCGCCUAAGUCAGCCUUUACUCCCAAAAGUGAGGAUUCCUUUAGAAUUCCUCUAAGGCACCAAUUUGUAUAGCAGAAGCGAUUGUGCUAAAAGAAGCUACAGAUGAACAAUAGAAAGCCAAAGAAAGAAUGCACACAAAGCGUUUGAGUAAAUGCUCAAAGAAUUUUAUUACUCUUAAGAAUUCAACAUACAAUGGAUGAUAUACAGAUGAUGGGGAGGCUCUCUAUUUAUAGUUGAGCUCCCCCAAAAUUGGCGGUUAAAAUCAAAUUACAUCGACGGACAAUAUUAGUCUAUCCCUUGAUUUUAGGGAUUUGCAAGAUUACAUUAUAUCAAAUCAAAUCUAUAAGAUAUGAUUCCCCUACUUACUAAAAAUAGCCUAAGUCGCCAUAUCUUCAUUAUCGGGCCAACCAGGCUUCUCUAAAAGUUCUUUGAAUCGGGCCAGUUCUCGUGGGCUAAAUGUUCCUCAUCUAAUCGAUAGACCUCCAUGGGGCGCAUCUUGUGCCAUGGUCACGGGCUUUGCACUUUGGCCCGUGACACUAGAAAGUGGUGAUUCCAAUAACUACUAUGCUUUAAAUAUUAGACUGGAAAAUUUUAUGUGUACUGUAUUUUAAAUGUUAGGUUGAAAUUGUUAAGCUAGAACUAAACUAGUACAGUUCUAUGCUAUAAAUGUUAGGUUGGAAAAUGUUAGGCAUCCUAUGUUUUAAAUGUUAGGUUGAAUUGUUAGUCUAGAAGUAGAGGUGAGCGAUCGACCGAAUCGAAUCAAAUUGAAUGAAAAUUUUCGAAUUAAUCGAAUUAACAAAUCUUAUUUUGUCAUCUUAACUCAAUUUGAAAUUUUCUCAAAUCGAGUCAAGUGAGAUGAAAUUCAAAUCAAAUCGAAUAUAUUUGUUCAAGUUAAAUUAAAAAAUAUGAAAUUGAUACCAACAAAAAAGUUUAACACGAAUAUUUUAUAGCAUCAUCAAUAAAUUAAUUUUAACAAAAAUUGAUAAAGAUUCAGCAUGAUUAAACAAUUUAAUAAUAUAAAUAGUAAAAAUGUGAAAUUUAAUUUAAUAAUAUAAAUAGUAGACAUAAAUUUUUUUUAAAAAGUUUUUGGGUGUUUAGGAAAAAGUAAAAAUUUAAGAGGAAAAGCAAAAGGAAAAAAAGUUUAUGGGGUUUGGAGGAAGUAAAAGUUUUGGGAAAAAAAUAAAAGGAAAAAAGUGUGGGGGUAGGGGUGAGCAAAACUCGAUUCGAUUCGAAAAAAUCGAAAAAAAUUUGAAUUUCGAGUUAAACGAAUCGAGUUAUUCGAGUUAAUCGAGUUAUUCGAAUCAACUCGAAUUUUUUUUCGAAUUUCGAGUUCGAAUCGAGUUGAGUUUUCGAAUUCGAAUAACUCGAAUAAUUCGAAUAAUUCGAAUAUCAAACUAUAAUAUUUGACAGUUUUACCCUAAACUCCCAAACCUUUUUACUUUUCCCUCAAAACUUUUACUCCUUCCUACUUUCCCCCCAAAACUUUUACUCCCCUCCCCUCCCAACCCCCCAAUCUACCCAAAAUCUAUUUCCCAUCAAAAUUUUACUCCCAAAACCCUCAAAACCUUUUAUUUUCUCCCAAAAUUUUUACUCCUUCCCACUUUUUCCCUAAAACUUUUAUUCCCUUCCCAUCCCACCUCCCACCUCCCACCUACCCCAAACCCUCCCCCCUCCAAUUUUUUUUUAAUAUUUUCCCUCCAAAAUUUUACUCCCCCUAUUUACUUUCCCUCAAACUUUUAUUCCUCAAAACUUUUUAUUUUCCCCCUAAACUUUUACUUAUCACCCUUUACUCUCAAAUAAAAAAUCAAAAUUAUCCAAAAAAAAUCACUAAACAUAAAUAGUAAUAAUUUUAUUUAUAUUUACUAUUUAUAUUAUUAAAUUAAAUUUCACAUUUUAUAUUAUUUAUAUUAUUGAAUUGUUUAGUCAUAUUGAAUAUUUAUAUUAAAAUUGAAUUAUUAAUUAUGCCACAAAAUAUUCGUGUUAAAAUUUUAUAUUAGUAUCAAUUUCACAUUUUAUUUUUAAAAUAAAUUUUAUUAAAAAAUCAUAUUUUUACAUUUAAUAUAUUUUUUAAUUCCAAAAUACAUAGUGACAAGAAUCUGAAGAUAAUUGAAACAACUAAGCAAGCAAAGAAGCUAAUCAGUAUAUAAAAAAUUAAUAAAUAAAUUAUGAGGUGAUGAAAGUUAAUAACAAAAUCGAUUAAGGUAGACAAAUUUUAUUACGAUGGGUGACAAUGGUUAUAAGGACCCAAAAUUAUUUUUUAAAAUUUAACUCGAACAAAUAUAUUCGAUUCGAUUCGAUUCGAAUUCCAUCUCACUCGACUCGAUUAGAGAAAACUUCAAAUAAAGUUAGGAUGAUAAAAUGAGAUUCGAAAACUCAAUUAACUCGAAAAUUUUUGAUUCGAUUCGAUUCGAUUCGAUCGAAUGCUCACCCAUAGUUGGGGGUUUGAGGAAAAGUAAUUUUUUUGGGAGAAAGUAAAAGGGUUUGAGGGGGGUUGGGAGAAAGGAAGUAAAAGGAUUUAGUAUUUGGUUUAUUCGAGUUAUUCGAAUUCGAAAAAUUAACUUCAUUCAAACUCGAAAUUUAAAAAAAAAUCAAGUUGAUUUGAUUAACUCAAUUGGAAUAAUUCAAAAUUCAAUUUUUUAUUUUAUUUUUUGAGUCAAAUAGAAUUUUGCUCAUCCCUAACUAGAACUAUACCAAAACAAUCACCCUAAAAUUAAAAAUUUAUUUGUUACCCUUUAAAAGGUAUAAAAUUAUAAACUAAUAAUAGUAAAAAAAAUAGUCUUUUAAGAAAUUUAUAAAGAUGUUUUAAAUGUUAGGCCAGAACUGUUAGGUUAGAACUGUAGUAAGUUUGUUGUAGAAUUGAAAUUAACGAUGCGUUAAUGCAUUAAGUUUGCAUUCAAUGAUAAUAAAUUUAUGACCUUUUCGAAACUGUACUUAAUCUCCUUUUCAUAGCGUAUAUAUAUAUAUAUAAUAUUAUGUAUGCUUUUUACAUUGUUUAUUAAGGUUUAUUACCUUUUUGAAACGGCAGUUAGUUAUGUUUUCGUACUGUAUUUAUGUUAUUUUACAACCUUUAUAAUAUCAUAAAUGAAUAUUAAAAAAUCAAGAAUUCAUAUAUAUAUAUAUAUAUAUGAAAUUAUUUAUAAUAAUUUUAUUUGUCCAAUAUUAUAGAUCUUAAACUUUAUUUUAAAUUAUUAAAUGAGUAUAUUUUAAAAGAUAUAUACAAAAAAACACAUGCAACUUAGGAGAUAAAAACUAAUAAUAAAUAUAUAUAAGUAGGAACGUAAGCAUAGAGUUAUCUAAGGGUGGGGCUACCCUUUAAGCCCGAAGGCCUGCUCAAAAUAUGGGAGGGUUUAUAUAAGAAUACAAAAUCUGAAAAAUGGACUUUGGCACAAGUUUAAACCUAUUUUUUUAUUCAAGUCAAGCUUUAGAUAGAAUCUUUUAAGCCCGAACCCGACCUAACCCUAAUACUAUAUGAAAUAUAAAUAUACUAUUUAUAUUUAUAAAAUAUAAAUAUAUAAUUUAACCCUAAACUCAAAAUCCUUCAACUAAAUCCAAUUCUCAUUCAAUAAAACUCAAACCCAAGCUAAUUCUAAACCCUACUUCGUACCCAACCUAAUAGAAGUCUAUUUUCAAUUUCAUUUUUGCCGUCAAACAUAUCUCGUAGGGCUAAGGAAAAAAAUCAAUAAACCGGUUUGAACCGAUGUAUUCGGUUUGGUUCGAUUUGGGUUGAUAUUAUCACUCGAAUCUUACAACUUAGUUUAGAUUCGGAUUUUUUUCACAUAAAACUUAUUUUAUCCGAAUUAAAUCUAAUGAAAAAAAUUAUAUAUAAAAGAAUAGUCCGAAUAGAAUAAUAAAUUGAUCAUUUCAAUGUCUAUAUGACUAAUUCAUUUAACCCUAUUAUUAUUAUUAUUAUUAUUAUUAUUAUUAUUAAAACUAGAUGUGAUUAUACAAAAAAUUAAAGUUACAAAAAUAUUUCAUAAAAAAAAAUUAUGACAGUAUACUUUUGUAUUAGAGUAAGUGAAUCAUUUCUUAAAUAUAAUAAUUAUAAGUAUAAGAAAAUAGUUUAUUAAACUUUAUAAUAUUUGAUUAAUAAAAAAUUUAUUCACAACUUGUCAAUUAUAAAUAUUUGAUAGUUAUAAAUUUAUGACAUAUUGUAAUGACUCAGUUAUAACUAAUUAAAAGAAAUGACGCAAUGGACAUUUCGUAUAUGAAUGAUUUAUAUAUUAAUUCUUCUUUUAACAACUUUAAAUAAUAUAUCAACUUAAUAAUUUAACUUAAAAUAAAUUUUUAAAUCAUCCAUAAAUCAAGAAUUAUAUAAGAUUUUUGGUACCAAUGCGAUAUUUCUUUUAGUUUUUUUGGCAAAUUGACAGCAGUAUAUAUCAUUAUUGCAUAUUUUCCAUAAAUUAUCCUCUCUCUUUUUAAUUAUGAUGUUUUUAGUUUUUUUAGUAUGAUUAACAUCUUCCAAAGAUGUCAAAUUUGAGACAGACAAUCAGACAAACAACAAGUGUUUUUUAAAUGAUGGUUUCGAUUAUGAAAGAGAAUGCUGUGGAAGAAAAAUGUUUUUUAUUUAAAUGAACUGCAGAGAGCAAAAUAAUAUUUUAAUAUUUUCUCAAAUAAGAUUCUUUAUUUUUACUCUUUUAAAAAUUUUUAAAAACAACUUAUGUAGUUAUUACAUCAAUUCAAAUCUGUUCAUGGGUCGGACCACCCGUUCAAGCUUAAAGGCUCACCAAAAAAAUAUGAAGGUUUAAACAAAAAUACAGUGCUUAAAAAAUGGGGUUGAGUCAAAUUUAAGACCCAUUUCUAUAUGGGCAAGAUUUUUUGGCUUAUGCUUGGCCCGACCCGAAUAUAUUAUGUUAUAAAAAUAAUUAUAUUAAUUAUAUUAAUUAUACAUGCUAAAUAAUAAUUAUAUGUAUUUAUAUUUAUAUUUAAUCACUAACCCAAUAACAAUUAAACCCAUUACUCAAAACCUNNNNNNNNNNNNNNNNNNNNNNNNNNNNNNNNNNNNNNNNNNNNNNNNNNNNNNNNNNNNNNNNNNNNNNNNNNNNNNNNNNNNNNNNNNNNNNNNNNNNUUAUUUGUGUUUUUAAUAUAAUAAAAUAUUAAUUAUAUUUAUGGCAGUGUUUAUUAAUAUAAAUAUUUUUUAAUGUGUUAAAAAACUUUUUAUUUUAGUGUUUUUUUAUGUAUUUAGUGCAUUACAUUAUUUAAAAAGUUUAUUUUAAAAUAAAAACUAAUGUAAAAAAAUUAAACAUGAGCAAUUGGGUCGGACUUGAAUAAAAAAAUAAGUUUAUUUUUUGGAUUAGACUAAAGUCAUAUUUAAAAAAUUAAUCUAAACCCAUCUCGAAUUCAAUCCGUCUCAUAAGUACACCUCUCCAUCAGUCCCAAUAAUUAACCAUUAAUUGUAAAAUGACAUUAUGGAAUAACAUUUGCAUACCCAUACGAUUGUCCAUUUAAUAUAAUUUUAGUAUAAAGUUUUCACCUAUUAAUUGAUGAAUAAUUUGUAUGUUAAGUUUAUUGUUUUAAUGAAUAAAAUGGUAUAAUAAAUUACGUUAAAUAUAUUUAAUAUACUAAAUUAUAUGAUUUAUUUUAUCGCCGAGAUAUGAUUAUGUAUUAAUAAAAAAUUAUUUUCACAGGUAUUUAUAAUAUAAUUUUGAAACAAUCUCGUUAUAGAUUCUGAUCAUGACUGUUCUCUUUUAAGAUAAUGCCUAAACUUCAACACACUCAAACUCACGUCCUCCUGCAUAGACAACAAUACCCGUGCCAAUCGAGUUAAAACUCAAUCCACAAUUUAAAAAAAAAAACUUGAACAUAUAACUAUCAGUCUCCAAAUUUAAAUCAAAUUUGAAUUUUAUAUACCUACUAAUUUUUUCUUUUAAAAAAUGAAUUGCUCAAAAUAAAUAAAAAAUAGAUUUAAUUUCAUAAAUACAUUUUCACAUCAACACUAAACAUUAUUUUUUAUUCACAUAAAUACAAUUAAUAUAAAUGGAAUAAUUUAUCUAUUUUUAAAUAUAAAAAAUAACCAACGUUAAUGUAUUGAAUUGGGUGGAAAUGGAAAUGUUAACAGAAAGUGGAAGGAAUGAUUGCCUUUUGGUGCAGUAAUGUCUUUUUUUAGUUUCAAAUGCUUACAUCUGAUUCAACAAAUCCUGAGUCACGGACUCAAAAAAUGUGCUUUCUAUUUUUUAAUGAGUUUCCAUUUCGGAUUUGAAAAUUAUAAGAAUGAAGGAGAUAUUUUGCGGGAUGAAAAUAAAAUAAAAAAUUCCCAACUUUACUUAUUUAUAAUUAGAUAUAAAAUUCAUUGCCAUAAUUAGCUGUAGACAUCAUAUAAAUAAUUUGACGAGGAAUCAAGAAGAACGGAUUGAAUAAUACAAGCUUUUUCAUGUCCUUUAGAGAUAUAAUAAACACUCAAAGAAAAACACUUUGAAGAAAAAUAUUAUUCUGUAUCAAUUCUCCCAAGGAAAUUAAAGCAACAAUGAUACAAACUAAAACAAUGGAGUUAUGACAUCAUAACUUUAUAAAAAAACCAAACACACAAACACCAUAAGGAAGUUGAGAAAGAAUGGAGGGAAAAGUGAUGACUUAAUUAGCAUUGGAACCCAGUUGGAACAUUCCUUGAACAAACGUUGAGGAGCAAGCUAAGAGAAACAGGGAUAUUAAGGUUGAUGCCUAAGAUGUUAGCUCUAAUAGCAGUGCAAAGGCAAGCAGCAGCUUCGAGGUCGACAAGGCCAUUGAGAAGGGAACAGCAUGGCAUCACUGGAGGUGAACCAACGGUGACAUUGACUAAGUUAAGCACAUUGGCACAUACACCUAAUUUGAGGGCAUCUCUAGGGCACCUGCCUCGUGCGGAUGGAGUAGGGGUGGGGGUGUUGGGGUUUGGGUUUGGCCUUGGUUUAGGGGUGGGUGAAGAGCA
rnacentral:lncRNA from 1 species